CAGCGCAGCCAGGGGAGGGGGCGGUCGCUUGCACCACGCGUGCACAGGUCAGCGCGCGGGUGGAGGCGGAGCGCUGCGCAGACCUGGGCUUGCCGCCGUAAGCGGGAGAACGGGCGGCUACGCCGCCGCGGCUCUGGAGAGUGCGCUUUUUGCGCAGAGCCUGGCUCCCAUUUCCUGCUGGCCCCGCCUCCUCUUCAUCGCCUGGCAACGGGACACCAAUCAGGAGCUACAGGAUUUUUUCCGCCCCCGCCCUUUCUCUCAGAUCUGAGUCCGUAACGGCCCCCCGGGGCGGAGCGGUUGCGCCGUUGAAGCCGAUCACGCUACCAGAAGGUGUCCUGGAGGAACAGCCUCUCACUUUCCACCAUAAGCUGACACAGGAAGCAGACCCUCACCAGAUGCUAGUAUCUUGAUAUUGGACUUUCCAGCCUUCAAAACUCCGCGAGCUCCACGCAGUUCAACAAGGGCCCCUUGUACAGGCUGUCGGCGGAGGUCAAGAACCCGCUCCUGUCCAAGUAUGACCCUCAGAAGAAGGCAGAACUCCGAAGCUGGAUCGAGGGACUCACCCAUCUCUCCAUCGGCCCCAACUUCCAGAAGGGCCUGAAGGACGGGAUUAUCUUAUGCACAUUCAUGAACAAGCUACUGCCAGGCUCAGUCCCCAAGAUCAACCGCUCCAUGCAGAACUGGCACCAGCUAGAAAACCUUUCCAACUUCAUCAAGGCCAUAGUCAGCUACGGCAUGAACCCCAUGGACCUGUUCGAGGCCAACGGCCUGUUUGAGAGCGGGAACAUGACGCAGGCCAAGACUAAGGGGCUGCAGAGUGGGGUGGGCAUCGGCGUCAAGUACUGGGAGAAGCAGGAGCGGAACUUCGACGACGCCACCAUGAAGACCGGCCAGUGCGUCAUCGGGCUGCAGAUGGGCACCAACAAAUGCGCCAGCCAGUCAGGCAUGACCGCGUAUGGCACGAGGAGGCAUCUCUACGACCCCAAGAACCACAUCCUGACCCCCAUGGACCACUCGACCAUCAGCCUCCAGAUGGGCACCAACAAGUGUGCCAGCCAUGUGGGCAUGACGGCUCCAGGGAUGCGGCGGCACAUCUAUGACACCAAACUGGGAACCGACAAGUGUGAUAACUGCUCCAUGUCCCUGCAGAUGGGCUACAUGCAGGGCGCCAACCAGAGCGGCCAGGUCUUGGCCUGGGCCGGCAGAUAUACGACCCCAAGUACUGCCCGCAAGGCACAGUGGCUGACGGGGCUCCCUCCGAUGCUGGCGACUGCCCGGGCCCCGGGGAGGUCCCUGAAUAUCCCCCUUACCACCAGGAGGAGGCGGACUACUAAGGCUCUCAGCGCGCUCGCUCCCCACGUGGUCUCCCUGUCUGGCUUUCUGGGGUUUUCUGGGUUUUCAUCUUUAUUUUUUUGAGACAGAGUUUCGCUGUUGUUUCCCAGGCUGGAGUGCAAUGUCGCGAUCUCGGCUCACCGCAACCUCCGCCUCCUGGGUUUAGGCAAUUCUCCUGCCUCAGCCUCCCAAGUAGCUGGGACUAUAGGCGUGCACCAUCACCCCAGCUAAUUUUGUAUUUUUAGUAGAGACGGGGUUUCACCAUGUUGACCAGGAUGGUCUUGAUCUCUUGACCUGGUGAUCCGCCUGCUUCGGCCUCCCAGAGUGCUGGGAUUGCAGGUUUGAGCCACCGCGCCCGGCCCUGUGUUUUCAUCUUUUUAAAAUUAACCUGUUCAGUGCUGCCCAUCAGCCGAGGGUCUCUGUGAAAGCCAGGGCUUUCUCCUCCUUGCCUUGGUCCUUCAUAGGACUGAGGUACCGGGCUGGGCGGGGGGAAGGGAUCAAGGCCGUAUCCUGAUAUUUGUAGGGUUAGGGACCCUGCUGGCACGUCCAGGCUGUGGGCCGAGCUGUGCUGGGGAGAAGAGGCCUGGGCUUGGAGGGAACCGGUCCCCGAAGUUUUCCAGUUGCCUCGUCUCUUCUCACUUUUGUCAUCCGAUCAGUUUGUGGUUUCUGUACCCGCAAAAGUUUCAGGAAGUAGUAACAACAACAACAAAAAUACUUUUUGUUUCCCCACCCAAGAAAUGGGGCGGGGACAGUGGGAAGGGUGCUGGGCAAUGAGUCCCCCGGAAAGGGGUCCAGGCCACUAUGCUGAAUGUCUCAGGCGCCCAAGUGGCUGGAUUUCCCUCAGACCCUCAGACCUGCCCUGGGGCCGGGUGGGGAAAGUGAGGCCCGUACAAGGACGCAGAAUUCUGAGUUGUUGGGGCCAAGCCUGACCCCGUCUCCAUGCUACCCCGCCCUCCCGGAAGCCUCAGUGGGUUUUCUUCAGUUGUUGUUAUUGCACAGGCUGGAGUGCCAUCCGGCAAUCUUCACUCACAGCACCUCCACCUCCUGAGCUCAACGGAUUCCCCUGCCUCCGCCUCCCAAGUAGCUGGGACUGCAGGUGCUCCACCACGCUACUUUUUGUGUUUUUGGUAGAGACAGGGUUUCACCAUGGUGGCCAGGCUGGUCUUGAACUCCUGGCCUCAGGUGAUCCCCCUGCCUCGGCCUCCCCACAUGCUAGGAUUACAGGUAUGAGCCACUGUGCCUGGCCCCUCAGUAGGUUUACAGAAGCCCCAGCCCUCCUCCUCCCCUUCUGAGACUGACCAGCUCUGCUGCUCCAUCUCCUCAGGCAACACACCCCGCCAAGUACUGCACAGGAACUCUCACCCAGGGGCCCUGCUCCAUGAGAUCAUGUGAAACCCAACUGUGGACCAAAUGCAGUAAAACCUGUUUGUAAAAAGAAGGAAAAAAUUCUAUAAAGAUUUUAAUAAAAAUGCAGAAAACAUUAAAUAAAAGAUGGCUUUUAUCUGAUCCAAAUACAAGCCGGACUUUUCUCAUUCAUCUAUGUAUACUAUAGACAUGUAUAUUUUGGCAAGUUUUAUUCAGCCUACAAACUUCUUACCAGAGGAAACAAAAAAAACUCUUACCUACUAAAUAACCCGCAUACCUUGAUGCAACUCUGCUAAGAGGGAGUGUGAUUUGCUUACUUCUGAUAUUGAGGCUGUCAUGGUGAAAACUUUUGGUUCUUUGCCAUUUUUCUCAAAACCCACAGAACCCCUUAAUAAGAUUUUGACUUUAUAGAAUGGGAGGGGCCAGCCUCCUGAGACUAGAACCUACAAGAUGGUUACCAUUGUGCUGUCUUUUUAAAAGAUGCGAAAAUGUUGACCUGCCAAAAAAUCAGAUUUUUAAAAUAUGAGAUGAAAAGAAUGUACUUCUCUAGUUUGAAAAUAUGUUGAAGAUGACCACUGAGUAUAGGAUUACAGUAUAACAAAAAUUUAUUUGCUGUUUCUCCAAAACUGGUUGAAUUCUCUUUGGAAAGGUCGUAAGAAACCUGGAAAAGAAUGAACUGAUUAUUUCAUCGCCUGAUUGUUUGAUAUUAUGUGUAGGUUGUGACAAAAACUCAUACAGUAAGAAAAAAACAAGUAACGUAUCUUGGCUACUAUGAGUAAUGUUGCAAUGAACAUGGGGAUGCGGAUGUUUCCUCGAGGUAGUGACUUCCUUUCCUUUGGAUAUAUACCCAGAAGUGGGGUUACUGGAUUAUAAAUAAGGUAAUUCUAUUUCUAGUUUUUUGAGAAACUGCUGAACCAGUUUACAUUCCUGCCAACAGUGUACAAGGGUUCUUUGUUCCUCCACACCCUCACCGACACUUACCUCUUGACUUUUUGAUAAUAGACAUUCUAACAGAUGUGAGGUGACAUCUUGCUGUGGUUUUUGAUUUGCAUUUCCCUGAUAAUUAGUGAUGUCAAGUACCUUCUCACAUACCUGUUGGCCAUUUGUAUCUUCUUUGGAAAAAUGUCUAUUCAAGUCGGUUGACCAUUUUUUAAUUGGGUUAUUUGGCUUUUUUUGCUAUUGAAUUGUGUGCAAUCCCGAUAUAUUUAUUUUAUUUUAUUGAAACAGAAUUUUGCUCAUUGCCUAGGCUGGAGUACAAUGGCAUGAUUUUGGCUCACUGCAACCUCCGCCUCCUGGAUUCAAGUGAUUCAGCUGCCUCAGCCUCCCAAGUAGCUGGGAUUAUGGGUGCCCACCACCACGUCCAGCAUCCAGCUAAUUUUUGCAUUUUUAAUAGAGACAGGGUUUCACCAUGUUGGUUAGGCUGGUCUCGAAGUCCUGACCUGAAGUGAUCUGCCUGCCUCGUCAUCCCAAAGUGCUGAGAUUACAGGCAUGAGCCACCACGCCUGGCUUCCUGAUAUAUUUUGGACAUUAACCCCUUGUCAGAUAUAUGGUUUUCAAAUAUUUUUCUCCCAUUUGGCAGGUUGCCUUUUCAUUUUGUUGAUUGUUACCUUUGCUGUGUAAAAGCUUUUUAGGUUGAUGUCAAAUCUACUUCCAAUUUUACAAGUUCAAAAAUUUUCCCUUAACUAAUCAUGACAUUUAAUGUGAGUUUGAAAAUCAUGGUAUUUUAGACAUGGGUAGUCUAUAAUGAAGUUAUAGCUGCAAUGCAGCUGCUUGACAAUGCGCUGGUGCAUCAGAACAAGCCUGUGGAUGCAGAACAGAUGGGCAUUUUUAGAGCACCACAGGUCCAAAUUCUGCUGUUGCUAGUAAGUAAAAUCCUAAGUGUUUCGUGUGCAAAUGAACACAGGCAUUUUUGUUGAGAGGAUAGUUAGCUUAAUUGACAUCACAUUGGACUGACACCAGGAAUCAGUGUAAUAUGGGUUUGAUAAAAGCAGAACUGCAAGUCAAACUGAAUCAUACUUUUGCCUGUAUCCAGUUUUACUACUACAUAAAAGAACAAAAAGUCCAGGUACAGUGGCUCACUCCUGUAAUUCCAGCACUGUGAGAGGUGGAGGCAGGCAGAUUGCUUGAGGUCAGGAGUUUGAGACCAGCCUGGCCAACAUGGUGAACCCCAUCUCUACUAAAAAUACAAAAAUUAGCCAGGCAUAGUGGUGCAAGCCUGUAAUCCCAACCACUCAGGAGGCUGAGGCAGGAGAAUCACUUGAACCCAGGAGGUAGAGGUUGCCGUGAGCCGAGACCAUGCCACUGCACUGCAACCUGGGCAACAGAGCAAGACUCCAUCUCAAAAAAAAAAAUGCAUACAAAUAUAACCUGAAAUAUUGAACAGUCCAAUAAAACAUUUAAAAAGAGUUCAAAUAAAUCGCUGUAUCAGAGGACAGAAACAUUAUGAAAUAUUGCUAUGUUUUCUCAUACAUAUUGCUAAUUUUAUUAAUCCUACUAUUAAUCACUUCUAACUGCCACUGCUAUCUAGGCUUAUUGGUGUUUUGUUUAAAUAAUAGCAUUUAUUUAACAUAAAAGUAAA